UGGCGAACGGGUGAGUAACGCGUAAGCAAUCUGCCCCUAAGACGAGGAUAACAGUUGGAAACGACUGCUAAGACUGGAUAGGAGACAAGAAGGCAUCUUUUUGUUUUUAAAAGACCUAGCAAUAGGUAUGCUUAGGGAGGAGCUUGCGUCACAUUAGUUAGUUGGUGGGGUAAAGGCYUACCAAGACUAUGAUGUGUAGCCGGGCUGAGAGGUUGAACGGCCACAUUGGGACUGAGACACGGCCCAAACUCCUACGGGAGGCAGCAGUAGGGAAUUUUCGGCAAUGGAGGAAACUCUGACCGAGCAACGCCGCGUGAACGAUGAAGUAUUUCGGUACGUAAAGUUCUUUUAUUAGGGAAGAAUAAAUGAUGGAAAAAUCAUUCUGACGGUACCUAAUGAAUAAGCCCCGGCUAACUAUGUGCCAGCAGCCGCGGUAAUACAUAGGGGGCAAGCGUUAUCCGGAAUUAUUGGGCGUAAAGGGUGCGUAGGCGGUUAAAUAAGUUUAUGGUCUAAGUGCAAUGCUUAACAUUGUGAUGCUAUAAAAACUGUUUAACUAGAGUAAGAUAGAGGCAAGUGGAAUUCCAUGUGUAGUGGUAAAAUGCGUAAAUAUAUGGAGGAACACCAGUAGCGAAGGCGGCUUGCUGGGUCUUUACUGACGCUGAGGCACGAAAGCGUGGGGAGCAAACAGGAUUAGAUACCCUGGUAGUCCACGCCGUAAACGAUGAGUACUAAAUGUUGGGUAAAACCAGUGUUGAAGUUAACACAUUAAGUACUCCGCCUGAGUAGUACGUACGCAAGUAUGAAACUUAAAGGAAUUGACGGGACUCCGCACAAGCGGUGGAUCAUGUUGUUUAAUUCGAAGGUACCCGAAAAACCUCACCAGGUCUUGACAUGCUUCUGCAAAGCUGUAGAAACACAGUGGAGGUUAUCAGUUGCACAGGUGGUGCAUGGUUGUCGUCAGCUCGUGUCGUGAGAUGUUGGGUUAAGUCCCGCAACGAGCGCAACCCUUAUUGUUAGUUGCCAGCACGUAAUGGUGGGGACUUUAGCAAGACUGCCAGUGAUAAAUUGGAGGAAGGUGGGGACGACGUCAAAUCAUCAUGCCCCUUAUGACCUGGGCUACAAACGUGAUACAAUGGCUGUUACAAAGGGUAGCUGAAACGUAAGUUUUUGGCGAAUCUCAAAAAAACAGUCUCAGUUCGGAUUGAAGUCUGCAACUCGACUUCAUGAAGUUGGAAUCGCUAGUAAUCGCGAAUCAGCAUGUCGCGGUGAAUACGUUCUCGGGGUUUGUACACACCGCCCGUCAAACCACGAAAGUUGGCAAUACCCAAAGCCGGUGGCYUAACUUCGCAAGAAGAGGGAACCGUCUAAGGUAGGGUCGAUGAUUGGGGUUAAGUCGUAACAAGGUAUCCCUACCGGAAGGUGGGGAUGGAUCACCUCCUUUCU
rnacentral:rRNA from 1 species